rnacentral:rRNA from 1 species
GCAAUCUGUGUGACUGCGUACCUUUUGUAUAAUGGGUCAGCGACUUAUAUUCUGUAGCAAGGUUAACCGAAUAGGGGAGCCGAAGGGAAACCGAGUCUUAACUGGGCGUUAAGUUGCAGGGUAUAGACCCGAAACCCGGUGAUCUAGCCAUGGGCAGGUUGAAGGUUGGGUAACACUAACUGGAGGACCGAACCGACUAAUGUUGAAAAAUUAGCGGAUGACUUGUGGCUGGGGGUGAAAGGCCAAUCAAACCGGGAGAUAGCUGGUUCUCCCCGAAAGCUAUUUAGGUAGCGCCUCGUGAAUUCAUCUCCGGGGGUAGAGCACUGUUUCGGCAAGGGGGUCAUCCCGACUUACCAACCCGAUGCAAACUGCGAAUACCGGAGAAUGUUAUCACGGGAGACACACGGCGGGUGCUAACGUCCGUCGUGAAGAGGGAAACAACCCAGACCGCCAGCUAAGGUCCCAAAGUCAUGGUUAAGUGGGAAACGAUGUGGGAAGGCCCAGACAGCCAGGAUGUUGGCUUAGAAGCAGCCAUCAUUUAAAGAAAGCGUAAUAGCUCACUGGUCGAGUCGGCCUGCGCGGAAGAUGUAACGGGGCUAAACCAUGCACCGAAGCUGCGGCAGCGACGCUGAUGCGUUGUUGGGUA